GCAUAUCAAUAAGCGGAGGAAAAGAAACCAACAGGGAUUGCCCUUAGUAACGGCGAAGUGAAGCGGCAACAGCUCAAAUUUGAAAUCUGGCCCCCGGGUCCGAGUUGUAAUUUGUAGAGGAUGCUUUUGGUGCGGUACCUUCCGAGUUCCCUGGAACGGGACGCCAUAGAGGGUGAGAGCCCCGUCUGGUUGGACGCCAAUCCUUUGUAAAGCUCCUUCAACGAGUCGAGUAGUUUGGGAAUGCUGCUCUAAAUGGGAGGUAUAUGUCUUCUAAAGCUAAAUAUUGGCCAGAGACCGAUAGCGCACAAGUAGAGUGAUCGAAAGAUGAAAAGCACUUUGAAAAGAGAGUUAAAAAGUACGUGAAAUUGUUGAAAGGGAAGCGCUCAUGACCAGACUUGGGCUCGGUUGAUCAUCCAGGGUUCUCCCUGGUGCACUCUCCCGGCCCAGGCCAGCAUCAGUUCGCCGCGGGGGACAAAGGCGUCGGGAAUGUGGCUCCCUCGGGAGUGUUAUAGCCCGUCGUGCAAUACCCUGUGGUGGACUGAGGUUCGCGCAUUCGCAAGGAUGCUGGCGUAAUGGUCAUCAGCGACCCGUCUUGAAACACGGACCAAGGAGUCGUCUUCGUAUGCGAGUGUUCGGGUGUCAAACCCCUACGCGUAAUGAAAGUGAACGCAGGUGAGAGCUUCGGCGCAUCAUCGACCGAUCCUGAUGUUCUCGGAUGGAUUUGAGUAAGAGCAUACGGGGCCGGACCCGAAAGAAGGUGAACUAUGCCUGUAUAGGGUGAAGCCAGAGGAAACUCUGGUGGAGGCUCGCAGCGGUUCUGACGUGCAAAUCGAUCGUCAAAUAUGGGCAUGGGGGCGAAAGACUAAUCGAACCUUCUAGUAGCUGGUUUCCGCCGAA
rnacentral:rRNA from 1 species